GACGAACGCUGGCGGCGUGCUUAACACAUGCAAGUCGAACGAAGAGCGAUGGAAGCUUGCUUCUAUCAAUCCUAGUGGCGAACGGGUGAGUAACGCGUAAUCAACCUGCCCUUCAGAGGGGGACAACAGUUGGAAACGACUGCUAAUACCGCAUACGAUCUAAUCUCGGCAUCGAGGAUAGAUGAAAGGUGGCCUCUACAUGUAAGCUAUCACUGAAGGAGGGGAUUGCGUCUGAUUAGCUAGUUGGAGGGGUAACGGCCCACCAAGGCGAUGAUCAGUAGCCGGUCUGAGAGGAUGAACGGCCACAUUGGGACUGAGACACGGCCCAGACUCCUACGGGAGGCAGCAGUGGGGAAUCUUCCGCAAUGGACGAAAGUCUGACGGAGCAACGCCGCGUGAGUGAUGACGGCCUUCGGGUUGUAAAGCUCUGUUAAUCGGGACGAAAGGCCUUCUUGCGAAUAGGGAGAAGGAUUGACGGUACCGGAAUAGAAAGCCACGGCUAACUACGUG
rnacentral:rRNA from 1 species